rnacentral:lncRNA from 1 species
CGAUGCCGGAGUUCUUGGAGCUAGUUAUCUUCUAUAUCGUAUUGCCUUAGUGAAAGGGCUAGCUUGGCUAGUGUGCAUCUACGGCGUUCCCCUCCUCAUCGUGAACGGUUUCCUUGUCCUGAUCACCUAUUUGCAGCACACUCACCCAUCAUUGCCUCACUAUGACUCAACCGAGUGGGACUGGCUAAGGGGAGCACUGGCAACCUGCGACAGAGACUACGGCGUUCUAAACAAAGUCUUCCACAACAUCACCGACACUCACGUGGUGCACCAUCUGUUCUCAAACAUGCCACACUACCACGCGAUGGAAGCAACCAAAGCAGUCAAGCCAUUACUCGGAGACUACUACCAAUUCGAUGGAACCCCGGUUGUCAAAGCAAUGUGGAGGGAGGCAAAGGAGUGCAUCUACGUUGAGAAAGACGAAGCAGCAGCUCAAGGCAAAG